rnacentral:rRNA from 1 species
GAGUUUGAUCUUGGCUCAGAACGAACGCUGGCGGCAUGCCUAACACAUGCAAGUCGAACGGGAUCCGAGCUUCGGUUCGGUGAGAGUGGCGGACGGGUGAGUAACGCGUGGGAACCUGCCCAGUGGUGGGGGAUAACUGCGGAAACUGCAGCUAAUACCGCAUGAGCCCGAGAGGGGAAAGAUUUAUCGCCAUUGGAGGGGCCCGCGUUCGAUUAGGUAGUUGGUGAGGUAACGGCUCACCAAGCCGACGGAUCGAUAGCUGGUCUGAGAGGAUGAUCAGCCACACU